ACAAUGUAAACUUCCAUAAGCUUAAAUGCAACGGCAGCUGUUUGCCGAAGCGUCUGUGUGUUCAGCGCUGCGGUGAUAAAAAUAAACAUAAAACCCGUGUGUGUGUGUGUCUGUGUAAUCAAAUAAAUAAAGUGACAAGAAAAAAGAAACAAAAGCGCGCCACACCAAUCGCUUGGCGUGAAUUUAUUGUCGUUUGUGCAGCAAUUGUUAUCGCCUGCUACGCGCGUGAAGCUCCGCUGUGUGUUGCCCCAAAUUUUAUAGCCUACAUUCAGGCGCUCAGCUGCUGAUUUGCCAACUGUGCGCUUAUCUCUGCGAGCGUGUGUGUGUGUGUGUGUGUGAGUUUCGUGAAUUUUGGCGCGCAAAGCAAACGUUUUUGCAUUGUUAUUGUUGUUGUGAUUUAUUAUAUGUUACUGUUGUUGCGCUGCAAUGUUUAUUGCCAUUUCGACGCGUUCAAUUGAUAAGCCAAUAAAACGGCUGCCUAACAUUCCGAUUUGCGUGCGGAGACUGUGAAAUUUAACGGAAAGUAAAUAAAAGCAACACACUGUUGUGCCGUUUUGUUGUUGUGUUUCGCUGUGUGAUCGAAUCAACGCCAAGGCUUUGCAUUCCUUAUCAUUUUUCCCCAUGAGUGCGUUGACUUGCUUUCAGGCCUUGAGGCUUUCGGGCAGCGAGUGAAAGUGAAAUAUCAACAAUAAAACCGAAAUCGUUUGUUUGAUAAGUUUCAAUUACUCUCGGCAGCGAGUGCUGUCAGUGCUGGCAAUGUGUGUUUACAUGCGCACAUGCACACACACAUACAUGCUACUCGUGUAGCAGUUAACUCAACGGCGCUGCCAAAACAUCAGUGACUCAAUCAAUUUAAUGGAAAGCAAUCAAUUUUCCAAAAGCAAUAUGCACCGUAGUUUAGCACCACUAAACGCCUCCCCAAGCGCCACAUAUCACUUUUGAGCCAGCUCAAUUUCCGGAACAAAAGUGUUGCGUGCAUCAAUGAAGAGCUUGGACCUCACCGAUCAAAAUCAAAGCAAUAACAAUAAAAUACAACACAUGCAAUUGGACUCCAGUCACCCAAAAGAAAAAAUUCCAAACAAACAGAAAACAGCUGCUAUAUACUAUAAACGACAACAACAAAUAGGCAUUGAA